UGUGUCUCAAGGUACCCAUUAGAGUUUGUCAGCUACCUUUGCCACUCUUGCCAUAAGGACAAACAUCAUUACACCUGCACAGAAGCCAUGAAACUGGAGAUAUAUUAAGCACAAUGUUGCUUGCUUGGAAGCUUAAUAGCUUGAUUUGCUUAAAUUAUCUACAUACCCGGUUGUACUUAAUUUGUAAACAAAGUGGGUAAUGCUGCAAUACUUUUGGCUGAACAAAUACAGUUUCAUUUGAACAAGAAAACUGAAUUGCUAUGCAACAUUAUUGUCUAAUAAUAUGCUAAAGUUGUCUUGUUAGCUGUUGUUCUGACGUACAACUCAAUGAUUGCAACUA